UGGACAGAUUAUUGCAUUCGACUAUAUUUACGGCAUGAAACAGAGUUUUACACUGUUUUAAACGGAAAGUGAAUCAAUUAACAUAAUAGAUUCCU
rnacentral:pre_miRNA from 1 species